AUACGCAGGGGGCGAGCGUUGUCCGGAAUGAUUGGGCGUAAAGGGCGCGUAGGCGGCCCGGUAAGUCUGGAGUGAAAGCCCGGUUUUUAAGAUGGGAAUUGCUUUGGAAACUGUCGGGCUUGAGUGCAGGAGAGGAAAGUGGAAUUCCCAGUGUAGGGGUGAAAUGCGUAGAGAUUGGGAGGAAAACCAGUGGCGAAGGCGACUUACUGGACUGUAACUGACGCUGAGGCGCGAAAGUGUGGGGAGCAAACAGGAUUAGAUACCCUGGUAGUCCACACUGUAAACGAUGAAUGCUAGGUGUAGGGGGUAUCGACCCCUUCUGUGCCGCAGUCAACACAAUAAGCAUUCCGCCUGGGGAGUACGGCCGCAAGGUUGAAACUCAAAUGAAUUGACGGGG
rnacentral:rRNA from 1 species